rnacentral:lncRNA from 1 species
CGAACCAUUGUGGUCGUUAUUGCUUUUAAAGUCUCCCUUUUUUUCCUUGUAAUCACACUCUUCAGCUCCACCCACUAGUCUCUCUUUCACUUUGAGUCAAGUCUUCAGCUCUCUCUCUCUCUCUCUCUGCAGAGUUACAGUCUUCAGCUCGACCCACCGAGAAAUUACCAAAAAGCAUAACCCAAUUAAUUAGCAAAAAAAAGGGGAAAAAGAAAAGAAAAGUGAAAAAACAGAGAAAAGAGAAUUGGUGGAAGAUUAAUAGUUGUUCACUUAUUCGACCCGAAACGCCGAAGUCUUCAUUUGGAAUAGAAGAUCCAACUUUCACUCUUCCAAAAGGUAAAAAUUUCCUCUUUUUUGUGUGUGUUGGGUUGUUUUUCUGGGUAUGUGUGCAUUCAUGUAGUCUGAAGCUUCUCUAUCAGUUGUUUAUUGCUUUUUUAGAUGGCUUUUGGUGCUUAUCGUGAACAAUAUUUCAAAAGGGCUUCCUUUUUUCGUUUUCUUGAAGUUUGGGUGUCUUGAUUGGGUGAAGGCCUUUUGUUCAUAGCUUGAUUUUGUGGUGUUUUUUAGUGGGUUUAACUUCAAAGUUUGGAUUUUGGGUUUUUCCUUUUCUGUUUGUUGUAGCGGAUGGUUUGCGUAGAUAUUUGUUCUUUUCUUAUAAGAUCGCAUUGAUUCCAUGAAAGGUAGAAUUUUGACGCUUCUAUUUGUCUGUAUAGUUUGUUUUUUCAUAUAUUUCCAUGCCUUAUAUUGUUUCGUAUGCUUGAAAUUUGCAUUCCUAUUUAGGGUUUCUCUGUAGUUCUUAGCACUUUACUUUAAAUUUCUUUUUCUGCAGAAUUGAAUGUUUAGUGUUUGAUCACCUUUAUUAUUACCAUUUAUGAGUGUUUUAUUAUAAGUGAUUUUCCCCUUUUGAUGUUUCAGGAAGUUAAGUAUGAGUCUUGUUAUGUACCAGCAAUCUUG